CUCCGUCCUACGAUGACACUGCACCGGAAGAACGCCCCAGAAGCGGCUCCCGGUGCGGGGCCGCGGCCGUGGCCGGCGGAUCGCCGCUGCGCCAAUCGCAGGUACCGCAGAUUCGUCUCGCACUCGCAGCGAGGCCGUGGAGUGACUGCCCCAGCGAUUCGUAACCUCAUGGCCUGCGUCAAAGAAAGGCGAUCUUUUUUCCAUCGUCUGUGUCUUUAUUGUUGAC